rnacentral:rRNA from 1 species
AGUGAACGCUGGCGGUAGGCCUAACACAUGCAAGUCGAACGGCAGCACAGUAAGAGCUUGCUCUUACGGGUGGCGAGUGGCGGACGGGUGAGGAAUACAUCGGAAUCUACUUUUUCGUGGGGGAUAACGUAGGGAAACUUACGCUAAUACCGCAUACGACCUACGGGUGAAAGCAGGGGAUCUUCGGACCUUGCGCGAUUGAAUGAGCCGAUGUCGGAUUAGCUAGUUGGCGGGGUAAAGGCCCACCAAGGCGACGAUCCGUAGCUCGUCUGAGAGGAUGAUCGCCCACACUGGAACUGAGACACGGUCCAGACUCCUACGGGAGGCAGCAGUGGGGAAUAUUGGGCAAUGGGCGCAAGCCUGAUCCAGCCAUCCCGCGUGGGUGAAGGAGGCCUUCGGGUUGUAAAGCCCUUUUGUUGGGAAAGAAAAGCAGCAGGUUAAUACCCCGCUGUUCUGACGGUACCCAAUGAAUAAGCACCGGCUAACUUCGUG